GACGAACGCUGGCGGCGUGCUUAACACAUGCAAGUCGAACGGAAAGGCCCUGCUUUUGUGGGGUGCUCGAGUGGCGAACGGGUGAGUAACACGUGAGUAACCUGCCCUUGACUUUGGGAUAACUUCAGGAAACUGGGGCUAAUACCGGAUAGGAGCUCCUGCUGCAUGGUGGGGGUUGGAAAGUUUCGGCGGUUGGGGAUGGACUCGCGGCUUAUCAGCUUGUUGGGGGGGUAGUGGCUUACCAAGGCUUUGACGGGUAGCCGGCCUGAGAGUGUGACCGGGCACAUAGGGCAAGGGGAGGGGCCAGAACACCAGGGGGGGGAACGGGCGAAAGAUUUACCACAAGGCGCGGCGGCAGGAAACAGCAACGCCGGGUGGUAGAUCGCGGCUUUUGGUGAGGAACCCGUUUGCGCGUGGAACGAGCAGUGAGUGACGGUAAGGAAUAAGAAAGACCCGGCUAACUACGUG
rnacentral:rRNA from 1 species